GAUGAAGGCAGGGGCUGCUCCUGUAGCUGAGAUCUGGGGUUGACCUUCGGAGUCAGUGUGAGGAGGUCAGAGAAUGACCGAUUUGGGUUUUAGCCUACUAACUGAUCACUGAGAGCAACCCCAUGAACAUGCUAAGCAGGAUUAAAUUUAUCAGUGUUGGGACAGCUCUGUGGAGUAGCUGGAGCCAUCCCUGCGUUUGCCGCCGGGGUUAGGCUCAGAGGAGGAAUGCAACUUCUCAGAGAUUUAUAGCCAGCUUGUGACAUAGCAUGGAGUUGGUGGUCUGCUAUUACAGAACCAUGGGAUUAAAAGUUUCAUAUUGGAAGUGCAGUGUGAGUGGAAGAAAGACCUUCAUUCUGGAGGAUGCUCUGCUUGGCCUGGAUGCUGCCCAUCAGAAGCCCCAGCAAGACUGUUUUCAGCAGGAAUUCCCCAGGUUUGAUGACAUCAUUCUGCUCGCUGUCCCAGACCAACUGGAGUGUCUCCUUCCUGAGCAUUCAGCCUACAAUCCCAAGGGACUGAGUUGGCUCCAGUGCAGUAUACAUGGAAGUGGUACUUGCUCUUUGGGGCUUGGCCUCAGAACUAUCCUGGAUGGAGGUCAGAGCUUACCGUAUGGUCAGGUCUGUCUUCGCAUAGCCGUCGUACUGUGUGCUCCUCUGCAGUGCAUGCAUAUCCAGUUCAGGACUGCCACAAACCAGGAUUUCUACUUCUUCUGGACGAAGCAGCUAUCAAUAAUCACAAAAACCAUAAUUCAAAAUGAUAGUCUUGCCGGGCAGUGGCGGUGCCCUCCUUUAAUCCCAGCACUCGGGAGGCAGAGGCAGGCGGAUUUCUGAGUUCGAGGCCAGCCUGGUCUACAAAGUGAGUUCCAGGACAGCCAGGGCUGCACAGAGAAACCCUGUCUUGAAAAUCCAAAUUUAAAAAAAUGAUAGUCUUAAAUGAAAUUUGAAGUGUUUUUAUUGCAGAAUCAAAUCAUAGAAAUUAUGACACUGUCUCAGUAAAUAAAAUUACUUUUUUGUU
rnacentral:lncRNA from 1 species